GUUUGGAUCAUGGCUCAGGACGAACGCUGGCGGCGUGCUUAACACAUGCAAGUCGAACGAUGAAGCCCUUCGGGGUGGAUUAGUGGCGAACGGGUGAGUAACACGUGGGCAAUCUGCCCUUCACUCUGGGACAAGCCCUGGAAACGGGGUCUAAUACCGGAUAACACUCUGUCCCUCAUGGGGCGGGGUUAAAAGCUCCGGCGGUGAAGGAUGAGCCCGCGGCCUAUCAGCUUGUUGGUGGGGUAAUGGCCUACCAAGGCGACGACGGGUAGCCGGCCUGAGAGGGCGACCGGCCACACUGGGACUGAGACACGGCCCAGACUCCUACGGGAGGCAGCAGUGGGGAAUAUUGCACAAUGGGCGAAAGCCUGAUGCAGCGACGCCGCGUGAGGGAUGACGGCCUUCGGGUUGUAAACCUCUUUCAGCAG
rnacentral:rRNA from 1 species